rnacentral:rRNA from 1 species
CCUACGGGGGGCUGCAGUAAGGAAUAUUGGUCAAUGGAGGAAACUCUGAACCAGCCAUCCCGCGUGAAGGAUGAAGGGGCUCUGCCUUGUAAACUUCUUUUGUCUGGGGCGAAAAAGCUCGAUUUAUCGAGAACUGACGGUACCAGAAGAAUAAGCACCGGCUAACUCCGUGCCAGCAGCCGCGGUAAUACGGAGGGUGCAAGCGUUAUCCGGAAUCACUGGGGUGAAAGGGUGCGUAGGCGGCUCAGUAGUGAAAGGCUGUGGCUUAACCAUGGAAUUGCCAUUGAUACUGCAGAGCUUGCAUGAGGUUGAGGUUGGCGGAAUGUGACAUGUAGCGGUGAAAUGCUUAGAUAUGUCAUGGAACACCGAUUGCGAAGGCAGCUGGCUGGACCUAUAUUGACGCUGAGGCACGAAAGCGUGGAGAGCGAACCGGAUUAGAUACUAGUAGUC